ACUAUCUGAAUAAUUUUUCACUGAAAAUACAAUUUUUUUUAAUAUCAAAAUAAGUUUUAUCAAUGAAGAAUUCGAACUUUUUACGUCAUCAAUUAAUUUGGACUAAGAUUACAAUAACAUCGGGAUCGAAGUCGGGCUCAAUGAACAAUUAAUUUUAACAACACCGAAAUUCAAAAAUAUCGAAUGCCGUGUUCAUCAUGUUGAUGUUCCACAGAAGGAAAGUUGGAACGAGUGCCACGAACAGGGGGAUCAUGGUCAGCUUGGGAUGGAAGAAGAUGACGAUAUUUUUAAGACCGUUGCUGCAUUGCCUGAGAUGAUUUUCACAGUCCUGGCCUUUGAUAAAGUGCAUAUACAUGUAGAUGCUUAACCAAUCAGUCACUAGGCUUGUGAAUAUGGAAUCCGGAUGCUCACAAGAUUUGGGACAAGAACUAUAUUAAAAAAAUGAAAUUGUGCAAGGAAAGUUUGAAGUGUCUGUUGGAAUGAUCAACAUCGAACUUGCUGAGUUUUCGUACUAAAAGUGAAUCCGUUGGUGACGCCAAUUACCUGUCAACCCUCUAUUGCAAAUUUCAUGGGAUAUCUGAGGAUGUGAUUCUAGCAACAUGUCAGAAGUUUUGUAUCUUCCAUAAUUGGGAUCUUUGGCACAUACAUUGGUGGAAAAUAGCAAAUGUUCAUUUAUGGGAUCUUUGUGUCAAUGUUGUUGUGUACUACAUAUAUUUUUGCAUUUAAUACAUGUGUUUGUCACUCUUGUCACUAACUUUGUACAGUAAAUGUACAUGGGCUACUGGCACUUUAUUGUAAAUGUAUAUACUGUUGAGGUUUCAAUGACCUCUCCCAAUCCUUGGCCAAUGUCAUUUAAUGAAUCUAACCUCUUAUUUAAAAAAAAGUUCAUACUUUAGUUUACUACAUACAUGUAUAUCAUAACUUGAUUAUCACUAAUUUAACCAAGGCGAUCCCCCAGUAAUCUUAUUUUUUCUUGGAUAUUUCUGUUAAUAACCUUUGAUGUAAAAUACUUUGCAGUUUCAUUGAGAAUACAUACAUUUAAAAAAGUGUGCUUAUAUUGUACAUCUGAGUGGUAUAUGCUAUUAUAUUUGUCUCAAAAAACAUUGUAAAAGAAACUGUGAAUUUUUUAUUUUGCAACUUGUUUAAAAUUUGAUGUUAGAGAAAAUUUGGUCGAACAAAGUUGUGUGAUGAAAAACGACAUUAUUUAAAGCACAUUAUGAUGAUUAUAACUGUUUCAUUUAAAUUAUGAAGAAACAUAAAUAAUCAAUUUGAAAAAAAAUGCUGUCAAUGGUGAUGCAGUGUUUGUUUGAUUAAAAUCAAAUAAAAACACGAAAUGUUAA